UGGGGAAUAUUGGACAAUGGGCGCAAGCCUGAUCCAGCCAUGCCGCGUGAGUGAUGAAGGCCUUAGGGUUGUAAAGCUCUUUCGCCGACGAAGAUAAUGACGGUAGUCGGAGAAGAAGCCCCGGCUAACUUCGUGCCAGCAGCCGCGGUAAUACGAAGGGGGCUAGCGUUGUUCGGAAUCACUGGGCGUAAAGCGCACGUAGGCGGAUUGUUAAGUCAGGGGUGAAAGCCUGGAGCUCAACUCCAGAACUGCCCUUGAUACUGGCAAUCUCGAGUCCGGAAGAGGUAAGUGGAACUGCGAGUGUAGAGGUGAAAUUCGUAGAUAUUCGCAAGAACACCAGUGGCGAAGGCGGCUUACUGGUCCGGUACUGACGCUGAGGUGCGAAAGCGUGGGGAGCAAAACAGGAUUAGAUACCCUGGUAGUCCACGCCGUAAACGAUGGAGGCUAGCCGUUGGCGAGCAUGCUCGUCAGUGGCGCAGCUAACGCAUUAAGCCUCCCGCCUGGGGAGUACGGUCGCAAGAUUAAAAACUUAAAUGAAUUGAC
rnacentral:rRNA from 1 species